GAGACAGGAAUGUGCUGACCGUGGUGGCUGAGAGGCUACAGGAGGCACUCUUUGAAGGGAAGUUAAAGACAAAGAGGAAGAGGCUGUAUUUCAUUCUCCCAGAUGGCUCCUGCCAGCCUCCAGAGAAAAGGCAGCUUUCUUCUUUAGAAAAUUGGCAGGACAAAAGAAGGAAGUCGACUUGGAAAGUCCAGCGACAGACCUCGUGCCCCUGCUCUGGGAGGCCGCAGGUCAAUGGCUCCCCCUGGCUUCAGGGGACACAGCUCAAGCCUGGAAGGAGCCCAUGGCCAGCCUGAAAGCCUUGCUCACACCCAGCAUCCGCAGCUGGGGCAAGAGCGGCUACUCCCAAGACAGGAAAAGACACACAGCCUAACUUUGCCACUGUGAAGGGAGACUUCUCUCUAAUGCCUAACUAGACACUUAUCUUCCAACCUCCUCAAAAUGCCUUCAAUAGAAGUCCCAGGAAGACACGGAGCCCCAGCCGCCCACUGACUCCUACAGGAUGCAGCUGCGCCAGGCAGCCCAUCCCAGGGGGCCCAGGCCAAAGAGGGGCCAGGGUGCUUCCCCUGAGAAUGAAAAGGGAUGUCGGGUAGAGGGGGAGGGUGAUGUGGGACUCGCUGGUGGCUGUUAAAGGAGCUCGCGUCUCGGUUCCUGCAGGAAAAGUGCUUUGAGCACUCGCCUGGCCUGGUGAAGAAGGAAGGCAGUUGGCGGGCAUUUUUGGAAGCUCUCACCCCCCAUGCUGGUCCUGGUACCCCUUCUCCAGGGAUGCGGGGCCCACAUUCAUCACAGUGGGGUUCCAUAGAUGAUGGUCCUGUCAUAUCAGGGUUCCCAUUGAAGGGGGCCCUUUUUGGCACUUUCUUUUAUUCCAUUAGUCUGUUUGCCUGGUCACACAUUUUAUUGCUUUUUCCCGCAAAAGAAUCAAUGUGGGAAUUUAUUUAUUUAUUUAUUGAGACGGAGUCUCACUCUGUCACCCAGGCUGGAGUGCAGUGGUGCAAUCUCAGCUCACUGCAACCUCCGCCUCCCUGGUUCAAGCAAUUCUCCUGCCUCAGCUUCCCAAGUAGCUGGAAUUACAGGCAUCUGCCACCAUGCCCGGCUAAUUUUUUGUAUUUUUUGUAUUUUUUUUUUUUUCUGAGAUGGAGUCUCUCUGUGUUGCCUAAGCUGGAGUACAGUGGCGUGAUCUCAGCUCAUUGCAACUUCUGCCUCCCAGGUUCAAGCAAUUCUUCCUGCCUCAGCCUCCCAAGUAGGUGGAAUUACAGGUGCCCACUACCAUGCCUGGCUAAUUUUUGUAUUUUUUAGUAGAGACGGGAUUUCACCACAUUGGCCAGAUUGGUCUUGAACUCCUGACCUCAUGAUCCACCUACCUUGGCCUCCCAAAGUGCUGGGAUUACAGGUGUGAGCCACUGCACCUGGCUGAUUUUUUAUAUUUUUAGUAGAGACGGGUUUCACCAUGUUAGCCAGGAUGGUCGCAAUCUCCUGACCUCGUGAUCCACCCACCUUGGCCUCCCAAAGUGCUGGGAUUACAGGUGUGAGCCACUGCGCCCAGCCAGGAAUUUAUUUUUAAAUUAAAUUUGAUUUAUUUAGUUUCCUAACCCUUUUAUUGUUUUUAGGCAAUUUUUUGAAGUAUAAUAUGAAUAAGAAAAUUAUGGUGAAUUGUUACAGCAUCGAGACCUCCAAGACCAGGACAUAGAACAAUCCCAGCCCCCAGAAACCUCCACCCCAUAAGGCUCCACAACCCCUCUUCUAACACACAGAUUACCUUCAGCUCUUCUUGAACUUCAUAUAAGUGUGAAACUCACCCAUGCUGUUGAACACAGCACUGUUUCAUUCAUGUAAGCGGCCUUAUAGUAUUCCAUUAUGUGAACGCAGUUUAUUAUCCGUUCUGUUAAUCACAGUAGUUUUUACCUGUUGUGAGUAAGGGUGUCACAAACAGCCUCAUGUGUACUUUGUGGCAGAUGGAAUUCUUGUACAGAUGUGGAACAUACACUGGAUUUGAAGUGCUGGGUUAUAGAGUAUGCACAUGCUCAGCUUUAUCAAACAGGGCUUAACAGCUUUUCAGAGUGGCUGUGCCAACUCACACUCUCCAACAGUCUAUGGGAGUUCCAGUUGCCCCACACCCUUGCCACCACUUGCAAUUGUCAGCUGUAAAUUUUAGCCAUUUUGUCGGGUGUAUAUUGGUAUUUUAUUGUGUUUUUGAUACUCGUUGCUCCCGCAAUCGUUGAAGUUGAGCACGGUUGUAUAUGCUUAUUGGCAAUUUGGAUACUGUCUUUGCGUUUUCAAAAAUUGGGUUUUUGUCUUUUAUUGAUUUGUAGAAUUUCUUUAUUCUGAAUUUGAGUUCUUAGUUGUGCUUGUGUGUGUGCACAUAGUAAACACACACACAGGUUAAAAUAAUUGGGAGAUCAUUAGAAUGAGAUGACCCCAGCGCCUUGGGUUUCAACUCAAGCAAACCAAAGUCCAUCUCAGUGUACAUGGUUAUAGUUCAGGUAAGCAGAAACCACCGGCUGAUCUCUAACACGGGGCUUUUGACUGGAAUGAUUUCUUUCCCUUUCUUUCUCUUUCUUUCUUUCUCUCUUUCUCUCUUUCUUUCUCUCUUUCUCUCUUCCUUUCUUUUUUUCUUUCCUAUCUUUCUGCCUUUCUUUCCUUCCUUCCUUCCAUCCUUCCAUCUCUUUCUUUUUCUUUUCUCUUUCUUUUCUUUCUCUCCCUCUCUCUUUCUUUCCUCCCUCCCUUUCUUCCUUCCUUCCUUCUUUCCUUCCUUCCCUUCCUCCUUCCCUCCUUCCCCUCCCUCCCUAAAAUUCAUAGAAUAAAAAAAUGCCUGAAUAGCCAAAGUAAUCCUAAGCAAAAAGAACAAAGCUGGAGGAAUCACAUUACCUGACUUCAAAUUAUCUUACAAGGCUAUGGUAACCAAAACAGCAUGGUAUUUAGGAUUGUUUUCCCAAUUCUUUGAAAAGCGAUGUUGGUAUCUUCAUAGGAAUUGCAUUGAAUCUGUAGAUUGCUUUGGGUAGUGUGGUCACUUUCACAAUAUUGAUUCUUCCAAUCCAUGAUCAUGGGAUGUAUUUCCGUUGGUUUGUGUCAUAUACAAUUUCUUUCAGCAGUGUUUGCUAGGUCUCCUUGUAGAGAUAUUUCACCUCUUGGUCAAGUUAUUUCUAGUUAUUUUAUUUUACUUUUUGCAGCUAUUGUAAAAGAGCUCGGGUUCUUGAUUUGAUUCUCAGCUUGGUCAUUGUUGGUGUAUAGCGGUGCUACUGAUUUGUGUACAUUGAUUUUGUAACCUGAGACUUCACUGAAUUCAUUUAUCAGCAAUUCAUUCAUUUUUAGAGGAUACUUGGUCCAUGCACAUGUCAGAGAUUGUUGUAAUGUUUCUUUCUUGCAAUGAUCUCAUCACAUUUUAAUCACAAAGUCAGGCUAGUCUUUUAAAUAAAGUUGCAAAGCAUUAAUCAUUUUUUCUCUUCUCUGGAAGAGUUUGUGUAAGAUUGGUGUUUUUUCUCCCACAAACGUUUGGAAGAAUGGUUUGCUGGUGGAGCCAACUGGACCUGAAGUUUUCUCUGUGGGAACAUUUUAAAUAAGAUUGUUCAGGACUCAUAAAUUUUUCUUGCAUCAGUUUUGGCAAGUUGUGUUUUUCAGAGUUUGUUCAAUUUUUCUAAAUUGUCAAAUUUAUUGGCAUAAAUUGUUCAGCAUAUUCUUUUAUUAUUAACUUAGUAUCUGUGGGAUCUUUAGUGAUGUCUCCAUUUUCAUUUUUGAUAUAGUUAAUGUUGGGAGAAAAGCUGAGUGUUGGGAGAAGCUGAGGCAGGGCUUGCAUGUCUGACAUAAUGUAAAAGAGUCUUGGAACAUGUCCGGGGUCCAGGAUCUAAAACUCCUCGUGGCCUUUGGAACACCGAGCUCUGUGCUAAAGAGUGGAAGCCUACCCUGAUGCACCAUAAUCUAAGCCCAGGGCAUAAAACCCCUCAUGGCUUGGAUGGAAUCCAGGUCAGAAACUAUGUUCUGUAUGUUUUCAACACCACCAAUUUUGGGGGGACUCUUUAAUGAUCCAAUGGGCCAUUAGUUUUGGUAAUGUUCCUUGUCUACUUGGAGAAAUUCAUAGGCUGAAGUCAGUCCUCAUGCACGGGGCUCUGUCCAUGCUGACCAAGUCAAAUUUGUUGAUCAUUUUUCCCAAACAUUCUGCUGGUUUUCUGUUUGCAUGAGACACCUUUCCUAUCUGUUGGGAGCAGGCCCCCCAAAAUCUGGUCAUAAACUGGCCCCAAAACUGGCCAUAAACAAAAUCUCUGCAGCACUGUGACAUGUUCAUAAUGGCCAUAACGCCCACACUAGAAGGUUGUGGGUUUACGGGAAUGAGGGCAAGGAACACCUGGCCCGCCCAGGGUGGAAAACCGCUUAAAGGCAUUCUUAAGCCACAAACAAUAGCAUGAGCGAUCUGUGCCUUGAGGAUAUGCUCCUCCUGCAGUUAACCAGCCCAACCUAUUCUUUUAAUUCGUCCCAUCCCUUCGUUUCCCAUAAGGGAUACUUUUAGUUAAUUUAAUAUCUAUAGAAACAAUCCUAAUGACUGAUUUGCUGUUAAUAAAUAUGUGGGUAAAUCUCUGUUUCGGGGCUCUCAGCUCUGAAGGCUGUGCGACCCCUAUUUCCCACUUCACACCUCUGUAUUUCUGUGUGUGCGUCUUUAAUUCCUCUAGCGCCACUGGGUUAGGGUCUCCCCGACCGAGCUGGUCUCGGCACUAUCCUUCUGCCUUUAGGCACCUGCACUACCGAGUACCAUCUAAAGGAACAUAUCAUUUGUUUUGUUUUAUUUUUAUAAUCCAGCAUGACAAUCUUUGUCUUUUAGUUGGAGUAUUUGUGUAAUUUAUAUGACUACAUUAAUUAACGAUACUUCUGUGCUUAGAUUUACCCCAUUACAGUUUUCUUCAUUGUGACCUCAUUAGCUGGUUUUCAUCUUUUCCUGUUAGUUUUUGAUGAGUUAAUACUUUUUCUUAUUUUUCUCCACUAAGCUUUUAGUCAUGUGCAUUUUAAAUCAUUCUCUUAAUGACUCCUCACCUGCAUUGGUGAUGUAUCAGACUUAGCACACUUGCUCCUGGAUGCAAGCACGUUAUAAUUCUUUAACCUCAUUUUCCUAUCCUGGCUUUUGCAUCAUUUUUCUGUAUCCUAAUUGUAUGCAUAUUUAAUUCUACAAUAUAUCAUUAUUUUUAUUGUUUUCAGUGGGUUUGCCCACAAGUUUACCUUUUCUAUUGAUUUUCAAAUUUUCUCCUAUUUUCUUGUGUUUGAAAACAAGAUAUUUUUGGAUAAUUUGCCUUUGGCCUGAAAAAGUUCCUUUACAUUUAUUUUAGUGAAGAUUAGUGGUGAUAAAUUCCCUCAAACUUUUCAUCUGAAUACAUCUUCAGUUCAUGUUUAUUUUCAUAAAAAUAUUUUAACUGGAUAUAAGAUUCUAGGUGAGCUGUUAUUUUUAACCCCAGAAUUUAAAAAUACAUCAUUCAGUUGUCUUUCAGCUUCCAUUAUUUUCUGUUGAGAAGUAAAACAUCAGCCUAUUUACUGUCACAAUUUUUCUCUUCCUUUUUAUUUUUGACUGUAAGAUGCCCAGGCGUGGUUUUCUUUGCAUUCAUUUUGCUUCAUGUUUGCAGAGCUUCAUAGAUAUGUGGUCUGAUGUCUUUCAUUGAUUUUGGGAAUGUCUUAACCAGUGUUUCUUUAAAUAUUCUUCUCCCUCAUUCUCUCUCUUCUUCUUCUGGGACUCCAGUCCAUACAUGUCAUGCAUUUGCAUCAUGUCUCAUACGUUGUCACGCCCUUUUUUCUACUUUUUUCCUUUUAGUUUUGAUUGCAUUAUUCUUUAUGUGUUCUACCUACCUAGCUUCUGGUUCACUGAUCUUUAUUCUGAUGUUCAAUCAGUUGCUAACCCCAUCUUUUAAGUACUUUCAGUUAAUACAGUUCUUAGUUCUAGUAUUUCCAUUUGAUUUUCAAAAAACAAAAGACUUCAGUUAUCCUGUAGUAUUGUUCAUAUUGUCAUGUGAUUUUAACUAAAGUUAAUUUAAAAUCAUAUUUGGUAAGUCCAACAUCUGCUCCUAUUCAGUUCUGUUUAUAUUUCCUUUUUGUCUCUUGGUGAUUGGCCUUGUGGUCUUUGGCAUAGCCAGAAGUUUGUAUUUUGGAUGCUAUGCAUGAAAAUAGAAGUUGUGGAGGAUGUAUCUUCCUCCAGAGGUGAUUAAACCCACUUGUAGAGGAAGGUGAGCUCUUGGGUGAAGGGAACUAAACGCCCAAGCAAUUUAAAUAUCACAAAAGAAAAAGCCACAAACUGGAAGGUGUAUGACAGACAUCUGAAGCAGGUGUGUUAGAAUAGACACAUGACUUAACAUGAGUAGGAUGCUCAUAUUUAACAUGAUAAGAAAAGAUGUUAGCGGUGUGAAAAAGAAAAAUGUCCUGAAAAAAGAACAAAGUGGAAAUAAUGGCUGUAAAAAAAUACAAUAGUUGAAAGAAAGAAGUAUUUUGAGGGUAUAAUAAAAAUAGUCUCAUAAGCCUUCAGAAGACUUGCCAACAAAACCCACAAUGAAAACAUUUAUGGAGAAAACCUCAAAAUGAAAAGAAAAACAAAUCCAGGAAAAGCUGCAAGAGAUAUGAAAAGAAAGAAAGAAAGAUGAAGACUAAACUCUCGUAAAGUUUGUUGCCAUCAUUAAAAAAGGCCAGGACCAAAGAAAUGUGCAUAGACAAACACACAGACACAUACACACCACACACUACACACACAUAGACACACAAACACACACCACACACACACACACCACACACACUACACACACACCACACAGACACACACACACACACACCACACACACACCACACAGACACAUCACACACACCACACAGACACAAACACACCACACACACACCACACUCACACAGACACACAAACACACACCACACAGACACACCACACACACACCACAGACACACACACACCACACACACACCACAAACACACACUACACACACACCACACACACAGACACACAAACACACACCACACACACACACACACCACACAGACACACCACACACACCAAAACCUAAAAACCACACAUUGCCCCUGUGAUGCAGAUGAUGGGCUGCUGGACCCAGCGAUCUGGUCAGAGGCAAGGGGACUGCUGGACCCCUGGGAUCCGGUGGGGGGUGGGGUGGGGCAAGGCUGCUGGACCCCCCUCUGUCCCCACUUGGGCUGCUGUCCCCCCCAGCAUGUUCCACCUCCCACGUGGAAUGGGGUCCGAGCCUCUGCUGUGGACGAGCGGCGUGGGUCAGUGGAAAGGGGUCCUUCUGCUUGCUGCCAUGCCCCCGCCCUCACCCUGGACCACUUCACCAGCCAGCUCCCCUCCCAGAGGCCCCAGACUCCAAUUCUGAGCCUCCUCUGUCUCUGCCCUGGCGCCCAUGAGUAC
rnacentral:lncRNA from 1 species